rnacentral:rRNA from 1 species
UACGAAGGGGGCUAGCGCUGCUCGGAAUUACUGGGCGUAAAGCGCACGUAGGCGGCUUCUUAAGUCGGUGGUGAAAUCCUGGAGCUCAACUCCAGAACUGCCUUCGAUACUGGGAAGCUCGAGUCCGGGAGAGGUGAGUGGAACUGCGAGUGUAGAGGUGAAAUUCGUAGAUAUUCGCAAGAACACCAGUGGCGAAGGCGGCUCACUGGCCCGGUACUGACGCUGAGGUGCGAAAGCGUGGGGAGCAAACAGG